UCCACUCUUUCAGGCCUUUGGACUCAUGUUUUCUGACUUCUGGGUCUGUUUGAGCUUCUCUUGGUCUGUUCCUGAAGCGCUAGGAGUCACUCAGAGCCUCAGAAGUGAGCAGUGUUCAGCAGAGCUGCAGGUUUAGGACGGCUCGUUCUUCACUGGUCACUGAAGAGCUCCUUCAUCUGUCUCUAAUGCAGCCGGAUCGCUCACAUGUGUUGCGUUCGUUCUGCUUCACUGCUUAACACGAGGAGCGAGCCGCAGCCAGAAGCACUGACGCCAGUGUUUCCCAGAAGUCUGUGCGUCUGUCUCUCAUGUUCUGGGUCAGUAAAUAGAGAGGUGGAAUCAUCCCGGUCCCACCCAAGACCUGCUGUUUCUCAUGCCCUGCUGCCCGUCUGGCACAGCAUUAUGGAAACAUCAAGUGUCCGAACUCAAAGCGUCCAGCCCGUUAUCACCCGGCGAUAUGAUCCAGUCUGUGCAUCCAUCGUUCCCGAAUGCAGUGGAAGAAAAGCUCGAGCUCUGACUCAGAAAUAAACGAGGUAUGUUUCUAUAAAGUGUAUAUAUUACUCAAAUGUGUAAGAUAAUGUUAUGAAAUGGACAUAUCACGUUAUAAAGCCAGAUCUUGCAGUUUAGUUUAGUUCUGAAUAACUACAGUAGAGGACACCUGACUAAAACAGCCUCUCCUCGUUCAUUUCUUUCCAACACAGACUGAAAUGAACACCAGUGGCAGUAAAACACAGACACCUUUUAUUCUCUUUUACACAAAUUAUGAUUACAGGCAGAUUGUUGAUUAAUAAAGCCUUCUUUUCUUGUGGUUUAGUGCACA
rnacentral:lncRNA from 1 species